CGGGGCUGACACCCAUUUCCUCCUAUUCCAGCUCCGGGAACAAUGGCAGAGACAUUCCUUGUGGAGAGCCCCGACGUCACGUACAGCAAGGACUUCAUCGAGGCCAAGUACACGUACAGCACCGUGCACGUCUGCAAGGAGAACGGCGUCACCAAGGUACGGCCCUGCUCCACCCGGUUCACCUUCCGGACGGCGCGGCAGGUCCCGCGUUUGGGGGUGAUGCUGGUGGGUUGGGGGGGCAACAACGGCACGACGGUGACGGCGGCCGUGUUGGCCAACAAGCUGGGCUUGUCCUGGAUGACCAAGACGGGGCGCAAGAAAGCCAACUACUACGGCUCCCUGCUCCAAGCCUCCACCGUCUGCCUGGGCACCGGCCCCACCGGUGAUGUCUACGUGCCCUUCCGUGACCUGCUGCCCAUGGUGCACCCCAACGACAUCGUCUUCGAUGGCUGGGACAUCUCCUCGCUGAACCUGGCGGAGGCCAUGCAGCGGGCGGAGGUGCUGGACUGGCCGCUGCAGGAGCAGCUCUGGCCCCACCUGGAGAAGAUGAAGCCCCGACCCUCCAUCUACAUCCCCGAGUUCAUCGCCGCCAACCAGGAGGAGCGAGCGGACAACGUCCUCCACGGGUCCAUGGCUGAGCAGAUGGAGCAGAUCCGUAGGGACAUCCGGGACUUCAAGGAGACCAGCGGGGUGGACAAAGUCAUCGUCCUCUGGACGGCCAACACGGAGCGCUUCUGCGACGUCGUGCCGGGGCUCAACGACACCGCCGACAACCUGCUGCGGGCCAUCGAGCGAGGUCUGGAGGUGUCUCCGUCCACCCUCUUCGCCGUGGCCAGCAUCCUGGAGGGCUGUGCCUACAUCAACGGCUCCCCCCAGAACACCUUCGUGCCGGGGGCGGUGGAACUGGCCGCCCAGCGCCGCGUCUUCAUCUGUGGUGAUGACUUCAAGUCGGGUCAGACCAAGCUCAAGUCGGUGCUGGUGGACUUCUUGGUGGGUGCCGGACUCAAGACCAAGUCCAUCGUGAGCUACAACCACCUGGGGAACAACGAUGGGAAGAACCUCUCAGCCCCCCAGCAGUUCCGCUCCAAGGAGAUCUCCAAGAGCAACGUGGUGGACGACACCGUCCAGGCCAACCCCAUCCUCUACGGUCCCCAGGACAAGCCCGACCACUGCGUGGUGAUCAAGUACGUGCCCUACGUGGGGGACAGCAAGCGGGCGCUGGACGAGUACACGUCGGAGAUCAUGAUGGGUGGCACCAACACCAUCGUCAUCCACAACACCUGCGAGGACUCGCUGCUGGCCAGCCCCAUCAUCCUGGACCUGGCCAUCCUCACCGAGCUGUGCCAACGCGUCACCUUCUGCACCGAGGCCGACCCCGAGUUCCAGGGUUUCCACAGCGUCCUCUCCAUCGUCGCCUUCCUCUGCAAGGCCCCCCUGGUGCCCGAGGGCACCCCCGUCGUCAACGCCCUCUUCCGCCAGCGCAGCUGCAUCGAGAACAUCCUGAGGUACCCAAAACUCGUAGGUGCCAGGUCCCACCAACCCCCAGUGCCCCUGGUGGCACCCAAGAGGUGUCCUGGUGCUUGAUAGCCAGGGCGUCAAUGCCCAUGGGUCCCAGUGCCUGUGGGUGCCCAGCAUCCAUGUCUGGGGUGUCCAAAUCCAGUAGGUCUAGGUGCCAGGUCCCACCAACCCCGGUGCCCAUGAUGGCACCCAAGAGGUGUCCUGGUGCUUGACAACCAAGGUGCCAACGCCCAUGGGUCCCAGUGGUCAAUACCUGUGGGUCCCAGUGCCCGUGGGUGCCCAGCAUCCAUGCAUGGGGUGUCCAAAUCCAGUAGGUCCUGGUGCCCAACACUGGUGGGUGCUGGUGCUCGGUGCCUGUGCCACCCGUGGGU